GAGAAGAGACCCAUUUUCUCAAUUGCCUCCGUCUGUUGUCUCUGUGUUCCGGCCGUUAUUUCUCGGGCCCAAAAGUCUCGAUUACCAGUGAAACCUUAUACUUUUUCGCCGAGCGCAGUCAGCCGGAGAAUUUGAGGGCAAAAGACGAU
ensembl:ncRNA T19F4.2 ncRNA